UACGUAGGGCGCGAGCGUUGUCCGGAUUUAUUGGGCGUAAAGAGCUCGUAGGCGGCUUGUCGCGUCGAAUGUGAAAUCUCAGGGCUCAACUCUGACAUUGCAUUCGAUACGGGCAGGCUCGAGUUCGGUAGGGGAGACUGGAAUUCCUGGUGUAGCGGUGAAAUGCGCAGAUAUCAGGAGGAACACCGGUGGCGAAGGCGGGUCUCUGGGCCAUUACUGACGCUGAGGAGCGAAAGCGUGGGGAGCGAACAGG
rnacentral:rRNA from 1 species